AAGAGCCCAGCCAACAUGAUGCCCACCUGGAAUACAUCCGUCCACACCACUGCCUUCAGACCGCCCUGCCAGGUAGAGAGUGCAGACGACUCCGGUCGAAAUGACGGCACCCCAGAGAUCUAUACCUGUGACUGAGAAGUGGAGAGAAGUUCACUUGACCAGACAGCACUGUGCACUAUCAAGCAUACUUGUUACACCAUACACUCCACAAGUGCUGGUUAUUCCCAGUCUGUAGAAGAUCGGCAGGAAAAUCUCAGAGCUCACAGCCACCAUCAGAAC